GUCUUAUUGAUUUUUAUUUUAGGUUUGGCCUGCUCGAUGAUGGAUUAAAUGGCCGCGGUAUAUUGACCGUGCAAAGGUAGCAUAAUCAUUAGUUUUUUUAUUGGAAACUGGAAUGAAGGGUUUGAUGAGGAAGAUUCUGUCUCUUCGGAAAUUUAUUAGAACUUUAUUUUUAAGUAAAAAAGCUUAAAUUUAAAUGGAAGACGAGAAGACCCUAUAGAGUUUAAUAUUUACAGGGGUUAGAGGUAUUAGGUUGAAAGUUAAUUUUAAUUUUUGAAAAUAUUUUGUUGGGGAGACAGAAAAAUUUAAUAAACUUUAUUUUUGGAAUGGAACAUUGAUUUAUGAAAGUAUGAUCCUUUAAUUAAGAUUAUAAGAGUAAAUUACCUUAGGGAUAACAGCGUAAUUUUUUAUAGAGUUCUAAUCGAAUAAAAAGUUUGCGACCUCGAUGUUGGAUUAAAAUAAAUUGCUGGCGCAGAAGUUAGUUAAUUGGGUCUGUUCGACCCUUAAAAUUUUACAUGAUCUGAGUUUAAACCGGCGUGAG
rnacentral:rRNA from 1 species